rnacentral:rRNA from 1 species
ACCAUGAAGAGGAGUCAAAUGGCGUGAACCGCUUAGAAGAAACGGACGGAACCGUCUGCCGCCCUCGGGAAUCAGUCGAACGACGCGCGAACGCGUCUCGAUCGUCGGAGCGUAAAAGUCCGGCUCGAGGCGUCUAGUAGUCGCGUUCGUAAGGCGCAUUUCUCGAGGGUUAGCGCCGCGACCGAUGCGAACGGCCGACGACGCCGUCGAGUUGAGGUCGAACGCCCUUCGCGGGUAUUCGUAACCAGCUCGUUCGGUAGACAUAUAUAUUGUCGGAUCUAUAAUAGCAUCGAGCGAAUACUAUAAAAUACGUCGGCGUAAAACGCUCGACGAGCGGCGGAGACUCGGCCAGUCGUUCAGUACCUGCUCGCAGGUGCUCGUUCGGCGCGAGGUCGUUUCCCGAUGUCGCCGUCGACGCUACCGACGUUUAGGCGUCCGCGGCGUCCGAGUCGGCCACCCGUCCGACCCGUCUUGAAACACGGACCAAGGAGUCUAACGUACGCGCGAGUUAAUGGGUGGAAAACCCAUAAGCGCAAUAAAAGUAAAAGUCGUCCUAAGACGGCCGAGGUACGAUCCUAGACUACGCGUCUAGGCGCAGUACCGUCCCGUCCCGACCGCACGUCGGUAGGGCGGAGAUUGAGCGCAUACGUUGGGACCCGAAAGAUGGUGAACUAUGCCUGAGCAGAGCGAAGCCAGAGGAAACUCUGGUGGAGGUUCGUAGCGGUUCUGACGUGCAAAUCGAUCGUCAGACUUGGGUAUAGGGGCGAAAGACUAAUCGAACCAUCUAGUAGCUGUUUCCCUUCCGAA